rnacentral:rRNA from 1 species
AUUGAACGCUGGCGGCAGGCCUAACACAUGCAAGUCGAGCGGAUGAAGGGAGCUUGCUCCUGGAUUCAGCGGCGGACGGGUGAGUAAUGCCUAGGAAUCUGCCUGGUAGUGGGGGAUAACGUCCGGAAACGGGCGCUAAUACCGCAUACGUCCUGAGGGAGAAAGUGGGGGAUCUUCGGACCCCACGCUAUCAGAUAAGCCUAGGUCGGAUUAGCUAGUUGGUGGGGUAAAGGCCUACCAAGGCGACGAUCCGUAACUGGUCUGAGAGGAUGAUCAGUCACACUGGAACUGAGACACGGUCCAGACUCCUACGGGAGGCAGCAGUGGGGAAUAUUGGACAAUGGGCGAAAGCCUGAUCCAGCCAUGCCGCGUGUGUGAAGAAGGUCUUCGGAUUGUAAAGCACUUUAAGUUGGGAGGAAGGGCAGUAAGUUAAUACCUUGCUGUUUUGACGUUACCAACAGAAUAAGCACCGGCUAACUUCGUG